rnacentral:rRNA from 1 species
AGGUAAGCUACUAAGAGCGAAUGGUGGAUGCCUUGACUGGUAAAGGCGAUGAAGGACGUACUAGACUGCGAUAAGCUACGGGGAGCUGUCAAGAAGCUUUGAUCCGUAGAUUUCCGAAUGGGGCAACCCAAUGUAUAGAGAUAUACAUUACCUAUAUAGGAGCGAACGAGGGGAAUUGAAACAUCUUAGUACCCUCAGGAAAAGAAAUCAAUAGAGAUUGCGUCAGUAGCGGCGAGCGAAAGCGCAAGAGGGCAAACCCAGUGCUUGCACUGGGGGUUGUAGGACUGCAAUGUGCAAGAGGUGAGUUUAGCAGAACAUUCUGGAAAGUAUAGCCAUAGAGGGUGAUAGUCCCGUAUGCGAAAAACAAACCUUAGCUAGCAGUAUCCUGAGUAGGGCGGGACACGAGAAAUCCUGUCUGAAGCUGGGUCGACCACGAUCCAACCCUAAAUACUAAUACCAGAUCGAUAGUGCACAAGUACCGUGAGGGAAAGGUGAAAAGAACUGAGGUGAUCAGAGUGAAAUAGAACCUGAAACCAUUUGCUUACAAUCAUUCAGAGCCCUAUGUAGCAAUACAGGGUGAUGGACUGCCUUUUGCAUAAUGAGCCUGCGAGUUGUGGUGUCUGGCAAGGUUAAGCAAACGCGAAGCCGUAGCGAAAGCGAGUCUGAAUAGGGCGCUUAGUCAGAUGCUGCAGACCCGAAACGAAGUGAUCUAUCCAUGAGCAAGUUGAAGCUAGUGUAAGAACUAGUGGAGGACUGAACCCAUAGGCGUUGAAAAGCCCCGGGAUGACUUGUGGAUAGGGGUGAAAGGCCAAUCAAACUUCGUGAUAGCUGGUUCUCUCCGAAAUAUAUUUAGGUAUAGCGUUGUGUCGUAAUAUAAGGGGGUAGAGCACUGAAUGGGCUAGGGCAUACACCAAUGUACCAAACCCUAUCAAACUCCGAAUACCUUAUAUGUAAUCACAGCAGUCAGGCGGCGAGUGAUAAAAUCCGUCGUCAAGAGGGAAACAACCCAGACUACCAGCUAAGGUCCCUAAAUCUUACUUAAGUGGAAAACGAUGUGAAGUUACUUAAACAACCAGGAGGUUGGCUUAGAAGCAGCCAUCCUUUAAAGAAAGCGUAAUAGCUCACUGGUCUAGUGAUUUUGCGCGGAAAAUAUAACGGGGCUAAAGUAAGUACCGAAGCUGUAGACUU